UGGGGUGUAGCUCAGUGGUAGAGCACUUGCCUAGGAUGUAGGAGGCCUGGAUUCCGUCCCCAGCACCACAA
rnacentral:tRNA from 1 species